CAUUGUAUGCGGGAGGUAGGAGGGCCUCGCGGGUUCCACGCUAGCCAGCAGAAAUAAUCCAAAAGACGCGCUAUAUUGAUCAGCCUCCAAACUUGGCAUCGGUGAUGAGCUGCAACGCAAACUUCAAACAGUCCAAGAACUCCUGGCCAAGACCUCUGGCCCGCCCCCAAAUGGUAGCUAUGACAUCACCAGCAACCAAUCAACGCAUUCUCUCGCUCCUGGGUUUCUUUGCUUCGGGGAGGUUUGGCUCACUCGGGUUGCACUGGACGAGGCUGCUGUGAUCUGACCCAUGGGUGGACUAUGUACAGCGGCACUAAAGAAAGUACUCCGUAGGAUUGUAGUUCCUGACUAGAGAAGAGAGGAGCGGGACCUGGUUUUGAAGCGCCCGCCGCUCUGUGGGUCCACAGACUAGCUAGUGGAAAGCGCAAAUCUCAGGUUGAACAAGGAGGAAACCAGCUGGAAUCACAGAGGAGACCCCUGAAUGACCUUAGGGAUCUGGACUUCCGGGCUGGUGACUGGCCUCCACCUUUGACGUCUCCGUGGCGUCUACUAGAGACGACAUUCGAGGCGGCUGCGGGCGUGAGACUGUCUCCCACUUUUGUAGUCGCUCCCAAUGCACUUCCUGGAAAGAGAAAAAUGAGGAGCCUAAAGGAGGUUCAGCUGGUGAAGGUGCUUGGUGUCCAAGCUUGAACGCCCGAGUUUGAUCCCUGGAUCCCAUGUAAGAGUGGAAGACCGACCCCACAAAGUUGUCCUCUGACAACCAUCCACACUUUCAAAUGAAAUGCUGUUGGUUCCUCCCUCUGCUUCCAAGACCAGCUUUGUCCCUACCUCCUAGGAACAAGUAAGACCUCCAGGUGGCCUUCUCAAUAGUUCCAAUUGCAGGGUCUACGCAGGUCUCAGAGACGCAGAUUUGAUGUGAGGCAAGACCAGACAGUAGUGAUGAGAGCUUCACGGGACCUAUCUUUUCUGUUAGAAUUUCCUUGUAGAAUGUGUGCACAUUCUGCACAUCAAGGCCCUGAGCUCAAUCCCCAGCACCAUAAACAAAAGAGAGACUCUGGUCUUGAUGUGGGGUCACAGACCUUUAAUCCUAGCACCCAAGAGACAGAGACUGGUAGAUCUCUGAGUUUGGGACCAGCCUUCGCUACAUAGUAAGAUCCUGUCUCAAAACAAAACAAGCACACAUAGAAUACUGGCUGUAUCUCCUCAGCUUUUCACUGGGCUAUAACCAAACUCAAAGUAGAACAUACUAUAUCUCACAUGUGGAGCUGUUGAGGACUGCUGUGGAAAAACACAUAAUUGUGUUAAUUGGUCUCAUUUUACAUGCAUGGCCACAGCGUUAGUAUGUUAGAGGACCUAGGCAAUCAGUGUGGUAGGGCAAGAAAACCAAUUGAAAAGAAUAUGGAGGUUAAGAUGGAAAAAUCGUGUCCACAGUCAAUAUGAUUGUGUAAGUAAAAAAAAAAUCCAAAGAAAGGGUGAGCACUUAGUGGAGUGCUUGCUUCUGUCUGAAGCCCUGGGGUAGAUCCUCAGCCCUGAACACACCAGCUGUAGCAGGCAGGCCUGGGAUCCUAGCACUCAGGAGGUAGAGGAAGGACGGUCAGAAGUUCAAGGUCUUCAGACACAGAGUUACCUGAGGGCCUGUUCUAAAAAUAAAAUUUAAAAAUCCAAGGGACACUAAAGGUGAUUGUCAUUUUGCUUGUGUAUUAGAUUUGUCUGAUGUGUAUGAGUGUAUUGCCUGCAUACGUGUAUGUGCCACACAUGUGUCUGGUGCGUGCAGAAGUCAAUAUAGGGCAUCAGAUUCCCCAAGAGGUAACGUUACAGAUGGCUGUGAACUGCCGUGUGAGUGCUGGUAACUGAAACCUGGGCAAUCUGCAAGAGCAACAAAUGCUCUUAACUCCAGCCUCACUAAAAGGAAGUUGUUAAAGUGAGCUUUAAAAAGUUGUUGGACAUGGGACUGGAGAAAUGGACCAAUUGUUUAGAGAACCUAUUAGUUUUGUUUUGUUUUGUUUUGUUUUGUUUUGUUU
rnacentral:lncRNA from 1 species